ncrna:unclassified sequences DTF2800 RNA
GUCCUAAGUAUGACGUUAAACUACUGACUGCUACAUACGGCAUCGGGUCGCUCCCGAUGGCUCAGACGGAUGCGACAGUAAAAAUAAAAUAUAAGGCUGCCUUAUGAGCGGGUGGCUGCAAUCCGGAACGGAGAAGUCCGUCUGGAAUGCGGUCUGGUUCGUUAUGCCCAUUUGCAGCCUGCAC